rnacentral:misc_RNA from 1 species
UGCCUUACAUGCAGACCAACACGUGAAUCAGUUUGAACACAUACGGUUGGUUUGAGGUGUUCAACACCUCGGCUUGCCAAAUACAAACCCCGGCGCUGAAUGCGUCAAGGAAUUUAAAUUAGCUCUGAGCGCACCUGCAUGGCACCGGACACGGUUUUUAUGUGGGUUGUGUUUUGACACAUAAUAU